rnacentral:rRNA from 1 species
AGAGUUUGAUCAUGGCUCAGGAUAAACGCUGGCGGCGUGCCUAACACAUGCAAGUCGAACGCUCUUUUGUUUUUCGGAACGAGAGGGAGUGGCGGACGGGUGAGUAACACAUGGGUGACCUGCCCCGAAGUGAGGGAUACCGGCGAGAAAUCGCCGACAAGCCCGCAUAGGGUCUCUCUGGUGAAGCGGAGAGAGCAAAGUUCUUUUUCGGAAGGACGCUUUGGGAUGGGCCUGUGGCCGAUUAGCUAGUUGGUGGGGUAAGAGCCUACCAAGGCGUCGAUCGGUAGCUGGUCUGAGAGGACGAUCAGCCACACUGGGAUUGAGAACGGCCCAGACUCCUACGGGGGGCAGCAGUGAGGAAUUUUCCGCAAUGGACGCAAGUCUGACGGAGCAACGCCGCGUGCAGGAGGACGCUUUUCGGAGUGUAAACUGCUUUUCUGUGGGACGAGAAUGGACGGUACCACAGGAAGAAGCCCCGGCUAACUACGUGCCAGCAGCCGCGGUAAUACGUAGGGGGCGAGCGUUGUCCGGAGUUACUGGGCGUAAAGGGCAUGCAGGCGGUCGUACGCGUUUUGUGUGACAGCGGGUGGCUUAACUACCCGAGGAUACGAAAGACGGUAUGACUUGAGGGCUCGAGAGGGACACGGAAUUCCGGGUGGAGUGGUGAAAUGCGUAGAGAUCCGGAGGAACACCGAAGCGAAGGCAGUGUCCUGUCGAGUGACUGACGCUGAGUGCGAAAGCCAGGGGAGCGAACGGGAUUAGAUACCCCGGUAGUCCUGGCCGUAAACGAUGACCACCCAGGUGUGGGAGGUAUCGACCCCUUCCGUGCCGGAGGCACCCACUAAGUGUCCGCCUGCGGAGUACUGUCGCAAGAUAAAACUCAAGGAUUGACGGGACCCGCCCAAGCAGCGGAGCGUGUGGGUUUAUUUGAUGCACCGAAGAACCCUACAGGGUUUGA